UAAGGAAUAUUGGUCAAUGGGCGGAAGCCUGAACCAGCCAUGCCGCGUGCAGGAAGACGGCCCUACGGGUUGUAAACUGCUUUUGCAGGGGAAUAAACCCCCGUAUGUAUACGGGGUUGAAUGUACUCUGAGAAUAAGGAUCGGCUAACUCCGUGCCAGCAGCCGCGGUAAUACGGAGGAUCCGAGCGUUAUCCGGAUUUAUUGGGUUUAAAGGGUGCGUAGGCGGCCUUGUAAGUCAGGGGUGAAAGACGGUAGCUUAACUAUCGCAGUGCCUUUGAUACUGCAGGGCUUGAAUGUACUUGAGGUAGGCGGAAUGUGACAAGUAGCGGUGAAAUGCAUAGAUAUGUCACAGAACACCAAUUGCGAAGGCAGCUUACUAAAGUAUGAUUGACGCUGAGGCACGAAAGCGUGGGGAUCAAACAGGAUUAGAUACCCGUGUAGUCC
rnacentral:rRNA from 1 species